rnacentral:rRNA from 1 species
UACGUAGGGGGCUAGCGUUGUUCGGAAUUACUGGGCGUAAAGCGCACGUAGGCGGAUAUUUAAGUCAGGGGUGAAAUCCCGGGGCUCAACCCCGGAACUGCCUUUGAUACUGGGUAUCUCGAGUCCGAGAGAGGUGAGUGGAAUUCCGAGUGUAGAGGUGAAAUUCGUAGAUAUUCGGAGGAACACCAGUGGCGAAGGCGGCUCACUGGCUCGGUACUGACGCUGAGGCACGAAAGCGUGGGGAGCAAACAGGG